AUUCUUCCUUCUGCUGUUUUGUCCGCUGGGCAGCUUUGAUGUCGCGUGGAAGAAGGACAGACCCUUCCUAGCAGAGCAGGUAAGGUGCUGUAGUUGUAUUUGAUGGGCUGAUAGUCGAGGCCACAGACUGAGAAUUCAGACCAGCAUUGCUGUUUGGGCCUCACACACGCUCUUUGCGAGUCAUCUGCUUUGUAUUAAUGAUAUACUGAAAAAUCCUUUCUUUUCUUGUGGGGGAGAAAAAGCAAGGUAGUGCUCUCAGGUAUAGCUCUUCAUGAGUCGUUCCUGUGAAAGAUGACGUGUUCUGCAGCUUUUGUAGAUGGUUCUGUCUCCACUGACCAAUGAGCUUGAAGCCAUCCAUAGUUUUCUUAUGUUAGGUAUGUUCUGUCCUUGGUUUUCCUCACCUACUACAAAGUGACAACAUCUUGUCUCUCCCCCUCUCCCACGCCCUCGUGUGGAAGCAACAAAGCUAAAGUAGUCAGGGUUGUGGAGGAAGAAACAAAUCUGUCAUUUAACGCAACCGAGGUGGAUUACUUUUGCAGAGAGAAACCGCUUGGAUGUAAUCUGCUCUCUCCUGUCCUGAAUUCUGCGUUUGGCCAAGCGGAUGCUGGAGCCCGAAGGGAUUGUGGCCAGUCUGAGCUGAGUUAGCGGAGGUGCUUAGCUCUUAGAAAGCAAAGUGGAGUCUGAUUGAGCCCGGAGCUCAGGAACACCAGAGCUCAGGUGUCGCUGCCGUGCCUUCCUUAAUGGUCCCCUGGAAGCAUCGAAGAAUGCAAAUAUGUACACAGAGGUUCCCAG